GGCAUAGAGGAGAUGCUCAGCAAAUGCCAGCUGCCAUCUCCCCCCAACCCCAUGCUACAUCUAACUGUGUCUCAGUUUUCUGCUGCACUUAGAGGAUAAGGAUGAGAGCUGAGGGUGGGGAGAGAAGGAAGAGCAGCAGCAGUAGCAGCUUCAGGAGGCUCCUGAUCACUUAGAAGAGAUGAAGGCUGAGCUACAGUAGGAGAGACUCAGGUUAACCCUGAGAGGGACUUCCCAUACUGAGACCCUGGAGGAAGCCACAUUUCAAAGGCCCCGCGAAACAUUCAAGGACCUUCUUCCAAGGGCACAAUACUGAGCAACAUGGACAAGGUCUGGCCCUAUGGUAAAGUCAGGUCUGGAUCAUGGAAUUGAAUGGGGUGUGUUGCCAGGCACCCGCAUGAGGGGCUGGCUCCUCCCCGUGAAUUCUGGGCACAGACACCCAGACCUGAGCAGGCCCCUCACCCCACAGCGACUGGGGAGCCGGAGCCCGAGUCCCUCCCACCUGCUCCCUCGGUUUCUGAGGGUCUGUCUCAUCCUGCAGCUGGACAGACGUGAUCUUCAGCCCCAAGUUACAGACGCUUAGAGAAGCUGGAGACUUGCACAAUGUCUCAGAGGAAAGAGAGCCAGAACCUGGACCCGUGUUGUACCCCAACCAAACCCUCCAUGGUGGAAGGAAUAGGAGUGGGAAGGGGAGGAGGAGACAUAUGGUCCAGGAGGUUCCAUAUGUACCCACACAUGGACCUCAAAGAGGCCCCCACAGCAAGACAGCAAAUGACAUCCACAGUCACAGAUCACGGAGUGAUUUCAGAUGAAGAUGGUGCUGGCAGGUAGUUGUCACGAGUCAGAGGUUAGGGGUCAGCACUGGAGCUGGCGCUGGAGGUGGGGAGGUUGAUGACUCCAAACAUCAGCUCAGGAGAUACUAGAGAAAGCCCAAGCCGAAAAGAAGUCUGCGCCUAGCAUAGGGCUUCCCAUUUAUUCAGUCCUUCGAGCUGGUAUCUGCCACCACUUUUCCCCAGGCUAAUUCCAGCCAAAAUAGAAUUCUACCUCCAUCUUAAAAUCUGCAAAUAUUUAACCUAAAGCCAAA
rnacentral:lncRNA from 1 species